GAUAAAGACACAUUAUCGAGCUUGUUGCUUUAGACUUUAGACAUAGACGCCCAAUUAUUAUCGGCCCUACUCUCUUUGUUGACUAUUGGGCGAAGCCCACAGAACUAUAGGCUCCAAGGUCCCAACUCCAACGUCCUAACCCCAUGGCUGGAUGGUGGAUCCAGUCAUGCAGUACAAGCAUUGAAGUGGCAUAGGUUUAGAUGGUAGUGAAAGAAGAAGAAGAGUAGUUGUGUUGUCUUGCCGGCUUUGAAUGAUAGGUUCCUUCGAAAGUUGGAAAGAAAUGUUGUUCAGAUUUUUCUUAUUAGAUAUUCUUACAUUCCCUCGCAAAAACUAUUACUUCCUUAAGUUUAUCAAUUGCGGGGAUUUUCUGCUCUGAUUUUUCACAAAAAUCUGCGUCCCAAGGCACUCAUAAUUCCAUUGUAGUAGAGUACAAACUUGGAAAUGCAUCCAGCUGGGCCAGGGGGACCUGCUGUGGUCCCAGACCAGGUGGACCGUGGUGGCCAGGGGUGGUUUUUUUGGACGACUUGCUGAAGGUUUACGCGGCAUGGUAUCUUCUCUGUUAUAUUGCUUGUGCUGUUGUUGGUUGAUA
rnacentral:misc_RNA from 1 species